UUUUACCCCCUCCUUGUUCUCCUUGGCCCAGACCAGACCGGAGAAGGCCGGGCGAGCAAGGGGCGCUAGAACCCCACAGAGAGCGGCCCACGUGGCGCGCUCCGCCGGCCCCGCUGCUUUGCCCGCGGGGGCGGCCGCCAUGUUUAUUGAACACAAAAUGGCGACACGUGGCCUGGAUACGUCGCCAGCGAGAAAUCGGGGUCGACCCGAAAGCUCUAGAACGCGCCCCUUCUUGCCUCUUCCCGCGCGCGUGUUUCUUGGUCCCUCCGGGAUGAAACCCCGCAGCCUGGACCGAAGCUUGCCCCGGGAAGCUUAAUGCUUCUUUCCUGCUGCUCUUAAUUUGUAAUGGAAGUGUGAAUACGUGUAAACUGCAGGCGCAGUAUUGACCCUCUGGGUCUGUUUAAAUUUAUUAAUGGAUAGUGGGGGACAGUACUAAGGGAAAACUUUAGCCCCCCCCCCGUCCCCCCGCAGUACCAAAGCGUUUAGUUUAAGGAAUGAGAUGGGAGAUAAUUGCUUUCCUAGACUUCGGGUCUGAGCUGUUACUCUGGAGAUAGCAAGAUACGGUUUUAUAGAGUCUCGCAAAAGAAGUUUGCUAAUAAGAAGCUAGGAGACCUAAGGCUUUGUCACAGGCCUGCUGGCCAGUGCCCUGCGGUUUACCAUAGCUCGCGCUCGCUUUUGUAGUCUAGAAGAGACAGAUCCUCUGCUAGGUUACACUGUGUAGUAUCUUUAAUUUUUGCCACGAUUCUCAGAGGAGAGGAGGACACUUAAAUCUAGAGAGAUGAGGUGACCAAUUCAAGGUCACAGUGUUGGGAGUGGAAUCCAGAUCUUCUGAUUUCCUUGCUGACUGCAUUAUCUUGUGAAUUCCACACCACUCAUUUUAUGGAUGAAGCCCCUGAGAUGUGGAACAACAAACUGAAUAGUCACCGCGCCACUCCUGGAGCCUCACGCGUGACUCUCCUCCCAUUCAAGUGACCACAGGUUGGUGGAGAGGUUUAAGAAGGCUGGAAAGGUACAAAGUGGGCCUUUCCCGACAACCUGGGAAAAUGGAUCAUGGUGUGCUAAGUCUUUGCAACUGCAUAUGAGUCUGGAGGGUUUGUAGUCUCCUACUUUUGUAUUCUCUAGUGUGGCAGCCUGCAGUUUUGUGCAGUACUCUUGUUGGAACUCACAAAAUGGCUGGAAGUAUCCGGGCACUUGGUGAGCUGCAUUACUUCAUCUGGCCACUAGGUGAUGAACAACUACAGACCCAGGCUGCCAGGGACGGUUUGUCCAGGACAGUUUCUGUUUGUAAUUGAAAAGGCCAUGAGAUGUCAUCUGGUACAACUUAAUUGAAAGUUUUUUGUGGGGGGAGGGCAGAGAUGGAAAACGUAUUUUUAAUGUACUUUGUCUCUCCUGGCUUUGUUCCAAUUCUAAGUAUUAAUUUGGCUGAGAUAUUUCUUUGAUUUUCAUAGAAGAGAGCAAGAGCAGAGUUUAUAUAUACAAGUUUUUUUUUUAAUUUUUUUUUUUUAUAUAUACAAGUUUUUAAAAAGUUUAAUUUUUGCAGUCCUGGGGAUUGAACCCAGGGCGUUUUCAUGGAGCUGUCUCCUGUAUCCUCCUUUUCUUUUUUGAAUUUGAGGCAGAGUCUCACUAGUCAUUAAAUUGCCCAGGCUGGGUUUGAACUUGUCA